rnacentral:rRNA from 1 species
GUCUGGUGCCAGCAGCCGCGGUAAUUCCAGCUCCAAUAGCGUAUAUUAAACUUGUUGCAGUUAAAAAGCUCGUAGUUGAAUUUCUGCGUCACCGUAUUUUGACUUUUGUCGACUGUCGGUUUCGCUUUUGGGAUUUAUCCCUUUUUACUUUGAGAAAAUUAGAGUGUUUCAAGCAGACUUUUGUCUUGAAUACUUCAGCAUGGAAUAAUAGAGUAGGACUUUGGUUCUAUUUUGUUGGUUUGUGAACCUUAGUAAUGGUUAAUAGGAACGGUUGGGGGCAUUCGUAUUUAACUGUCAGAGGUGAAAUUCUUAGAUUUGUUAAAGACGAACUACUGCGAAAGCAUUUGCCAAGGACGUUUUCAUUAAUCAAGAACGAAAGUUAGGGGAUCGAAGACGAUCAGAUACCGUCGUAGUCCUAAC